AAAAUGGGAAAAAAGAAAAACAAAACCAAAAACAAAACCCAAGCCAAAAAAAAACCAACAAAAGGAGCAGGGUAGGAUUUAUAUUUGGAUUUACGUUGGCGUACGUAUAUACUACGCUAAUCUGAUUACCCAUCGGGAAUCCUCCUUGACGACAGCUUUUUUCUUUAUUACUCUCACCACCACGUUAACACACACCGCCUCAGGAGGAAAGAGCAAACCGAACGCACCAGCACCACGUCCCUCUGUUUCUGCCUUCCUCAUUUUCCGGAGAGGAACCCCACAGCAGCUCGGCCCUACCGGAGAACCUCAACCCAACCUCCCGCCACCAACUUGGCCGUUCCAAAUGUAAAUCAAUGCAGCAGCCGCCACCGCCGCCGCAAACCCGAGCUCUCUUCUUGCGGGGGAGAGAUGCGAGCAGCGUUGCGAGACGGCGAGAGAGCGGGAACGGCCGCUCGGACGUCGCUGCAUUCCGUCAACGAAGAUUUCCCCCCGUGGCGGUCGGUGCCUUUCGAGACGCCCCGCCACGGCGGCGAUGCGCCACCGACCACCGCCGCGCUGCACCACCCGCCGUGUGAGGCCACACACGCGUGUGCGUGGGCCCGCGUCCCCCACGCUGUCCUCUCCCCGCACAGGUGCGAAGGCGACGCCAAGACAACGAUGCAGAACACGGCCCCGUUUUCUCAGAACCACAAAUAAAUAAAGCUCAUAGGCUGUGACUCUGUGCCGUGACCUUCGCUUGAGCGUUACCUAGCACCUAACAAGGGCUGAAAGAGCCUUGGUUUCAGAGCAGACUGGAAACCCUUCAGGCAGAUUUGAAAGGAGGGCCGCAGGCUUUUUGUAACACGUGGCGUGUCUUUUACCGUACAAGAGACACCAGCUGUUUGGAGGGGGAAAGCUGUAAUUUCUCAUUUGCCAAACGUUGCAGGUGCAUAUGGCAUUUUUACAAACCCCUACAAAAGGAAGUUCAAGGCUUCGAGGAGCGUAAAACUCAAGCCAAACACAACUGCAAGAUAAACCUUUCGGUUGGCUACGAGAGCCGUCAUCCUGCUCACCUGUAUUUCUUGCGUUACCGCUCUCCGUCUCCGAGGAUUUCCAGAAGAAAUGCCUGCUCAUGUCACCUCUGUCACGCAAGGACACAUCUCCUCCUUGGAUCCCGCCGGGGUGCCCGGCGCCACGAUGCCUCGCACGCGUCAAACAGGGAUCUACACGUCAUUCCUGGGAUCUACCAGCACGUUUCCAGCCUGCUGAAGAGGAGCUCCAGGGCCGUGGAUAGACUGGGUGGAUCUGGAGGAUAAGGAAGGUUGAAAGGCAAUAAUCACUGGUGGUAGGUGGUGGGAAUUGGGAUGAGAAGGGUGGAGUAGAAGGAAUUAGUGGAAAAUCAAGAGGGCAGUGGUGCUCUGGCCACGACUAAGUUUCAGCGUGAAGUCUGCGGUAUUUAAAGGUGCUGUUGGAGGCUGGCUCCAAGGGGAGCUUGUGACGCUCUUCCCAUUUUAGAUGACACCAGUCACAUCCAGGGCUGGUUUUCCCUCCCGCUCUCUUGCAAGUCUAUGUUACUGCUUACCCCCAAAAUAAUGAGGCUUUUCUUUCUCCUUUCCUUCCUCCCAAACCUUUGCCAGGUAGGAGACUUCCCUCACCUCUGCGCUCAGGUACAGCCCCUUCCCCGUGUGGAUCUGCUGGGGGUGGGUGGGGACAAUCAAGGACAUAGUAAAGUUCCCAGUGGGUCCUAGGAAGUGAAUCGAGCACAGAGAAGCUCCCUACGGUCUUUUACCGAUGCGGCCCGCAGCAUUGGACGGUUGUGGAAAAACGACCCCGAAUAAUUCAGCGAGGUUCACUCUCAGGCACGGGGACAGCCCAGGAAAGCCCCAAGGCAGCCUGUCCUGAUCUUGUUCCCAUGGUUGCAACUACCUUCUCGGUCAGAGGCAAAAAAGAACAAGCGCUGGU